CCUUUGGUUUAUGUGGAAUUUGUUUUACCUAAGUUGUAAAAAUCCUCAUAUCUUGAGGUAGUUGUUUUUAUGUUUUUUUAUACUCAUGACUUCGUGCGGAUCACAAUUAUUUUUAGAAGAUAACUGCUUGAGUCCUACUACAUUUGAUUGUAAAGAAAAAUAACUUGUAGAAUAUUAAAACGUCACAAAAGAAUUAGCACCUAUGGGUAAACUCUGUUAAGAUUCUUUCUUUCUUUCUUUCUUUUUUCUAACAAGAACUUCUUGUUUUACACAUAGGCUUGAUUAAGGGAGUUUCCUUUAUGUUUGAUGCCAAAGGAAAAGGUUAUCAGUUCAUCUACUCUUUGUGUUAGUGUUGGUAGAUCCUAGGGUUGAAUCCAAAAGGAAAUCGAGUUAGCUUCGAGUAUAGUUUGAUGAAUAUCUCCCUUCAACUAUUUUGUUUGAACUGCAUUUAUUUCUUCCUUUUCAAGAAUGCUUUACCGGCAGUUCAGUUUGGGAUCGGAGGAGGAAUUGAGGAUAACGCUAAAGGAAGUGGACGCAUGUAGGAGCACCCGCCCCCAGUGCAAUCAGUGAACCUCUAACUUCUAAGGCCAAGGUGAUUUCAAGUUAUGAUAACAAUAUCAACCCCAUACCCACAAACACGUCAAGAAAAGAACUUGGCCUGGCUAUGGACAAAAAAAAAAAAAAAAAAAAAACACAUGACACGAUAUCCAUGCAUCACACCACUCCAGAUGGGAGUCGGAGGACGAGCUGUCCCCCCAAAACGCUGCAAAAUUUCAAGACAGAAAGAUCAGUAUCAAUGUAAAGUUAUUGGUUGGAUUUUCCAAAUAAAGAAGAAAGACUAACCUCUUCACAUAAUAGUAACAGAAGUCAGCUAGGAUAAAAGUCUGCACAAUUUCUGAGAUUAGAACCAUAGAUGGCCAUAACCCAUAACCGAGAGCUACUAGAAGGUGUCCACGACUAUCCAAGACCUGAAUAUCGAAUAGAAGGCAAUUCCAUCAUCCGUCGAUAGCAAAUUGUGAUGAAUUUGUAGACGAAAAAAAUAAAAGGAUAAGGACAAUUAGUUGUAUACAGCUUAAAUGCGGUAGGUUUUGUUCAUGUAUUAAUUAUUUGUAAAUGCAUAUAACACAAUUAAUUCCAA